UGGGGAAUUUUGGACAAUGGGCGAAAGCCUGAUCCAGCAAUGCCGCGUGUGUGAAGAAGGCCUUCGGGUUGUAAAGCACUUUUGUCCGGAAAGAAAUCCUUGGCUCUAAUACAGUCGGGGGAUGACGGUACCGGAAGAAUAAGCACCGGCUAACUACGUGCCAGCAGCCGCGGUAAUACGUAGGGUGCAAGCGUUAAUCGGAAUUACUGGGCGUAAAGCGUGCGCAGGCGGUUUGCUAAGACCGAUGUAAAAUCCCCGGGCUCAACCUGGGAACUGCAUUGGUGACUGGCAGGCUAGAGUAUGGCAGAGGGGGGUAGAAUUCCACGUGUAGCAGUGAAAUGCGUAGAGAUGUGGAGGAAUACCGAUGGCGAGGCGAGCCCCUGGCAAUACUGACGCUCAUGCACGAAAGCGUGGGGAGCAAACAGGAUUAGAUACCCUGGUAGUCCACGCCCUAAACGAUGUCAACUAGUUGUUGGGGAUUCAUUUCCUUAGUAACGUAGCUAACGCGUGAAGUUGACCGCCUGGGGAGUACGGUCGCAAGAUUAAAACUUAAAUGAAUUGACGGGGUCAUAGCUGUUUCCU
rnacentral:rRNA from 1 species